CACGUUCUCUGAAAUAUCUCUGAAAAACACCGUUGGCAUUGGGUAUAAAAGCAAGAAUUCCCACCCCAACAACGUUAUGUUAACAAAUGCGCUACAGGGAAUACAGUGGUUCAAGGCGGCAGCUUGAUACGAACCACAUAUCAAGGCCGACAGCAAUCCACCAUCUGCGAAUGGGUAAAACCAGAAGUUAAAAUAAAAACCAUGGGGUUAUUUGCAUGGCCUUUCAGACGACAGUGACAAGAACGGUGCAAAACAGAUUCAAAUACCUGUGGGGCGAACAGGAGCUGGACUUAAGGCACAUUUUUUAAACAGAAUACAUUAAAGAGGCCGAGCGGACUCAAUACUUACAGGCUUGUUGUCAGUAUCUGCAUUCCUGUCUCGGUUUCUGGGUCUGUUUUUCCGUCUCCCCAUACCGCGGACAAUGGAGAAGAACCGAAGAAACGUGAUUCUCACACACGGGCGCAGAUGGAACUGAACUGGAGCAGGCCACAGCGGUCGCAAGAGUGGAGCACACGGCGGAAAUACUGGAGCUGGAUCCAAAACCGGAGUGGAGCACUCGUCGGAAAAACUGGAGCCGGAUCCGCAACCAGCGUGUAGCACACGGCGGAAAGACUGGAGCCGGAUCAGCACUGGAACACUGGACGGAAACCUCACUCGUUCAAUCAUUCAUUCAGAAAGGUGGAGCCACUUCUGUGAUGUAGUCCAGAAACAUACAGCCAGAUGUCCAUCUCAUAGUGAAAAUGCAGAACAGAUUGCAAAAUAAUGAACUCAGUUUUUUGGGGGGUAAAACUAUUUCCUGUGCCUUCCCAGCAUGGUCCCCAUUUUGAUGACCACAGAUAUUUGCUCCUAUAUACUAUCUUCGUUUACACUUGUAAAAGUGAAAAUAAAGCAUCUCCUUGGAGAGAUUGUGACCAUCAGGAACACCAGCUAAGGAGUCAAAAACUUGCUGAAAGAGGCCACACACAAUGCAUGUUUGAUGAAUGGCUACAGAAGGCACCUGAAGGCAUGAGGUGGUAAAGAGAAUCAAGACAAUGGCUCAGUGGUUAGCACUGCAGUCUCACAGCACCAGGGACCCGGCCUCGAUUCCAGCCUCGGGCAGCUGUCUGUGUGGAGUUUGCACAUUCUCCACGUGUCGGCAUUGAUUUCCUCCAGGUGCGCCAGUUUCCUCCCACAGUCCAAAGAUGUGCAGGCUAAAUGGAUUGGCUAUGCUAAAUUGCCCACAGUGUUUUGGGAUGUGUAGAUUAGGUCCAUUACAUGGGAAUGGAAAAUGGGUGGGAUGCUCUGAGGAUCGGUGUGGACUUGUUGGGCUGAAGGGCCCGUUUCCACAUUGUAGGGAUUCUAAGACAAUCAAUUCUAAGACAUGGAGAUGACUUGGGAGAACGGGGAAACACGGGGGUUGGAUUUGUUUGAAUGGAUGAGAGUUAAAAGGUCUCGGGGCCUUAAAACUGUGGUAGGACCUGGGCAGCUGUACUGGAGAGUAGACGCUUUUUAACUCUGCUUGUUGCAAAUCCUGCAAACCCAUCAUCUGUGAUUGCUGAUCUACACUGGCUCCUAAUAAAGCAAGGCCUUUAUUUUAAAUUCAAACUUGUUUCCACAACCCUCCACUGCGCUGCUCUUCCCUUGCUCUGUAAUCUCUUUAAGGUAUACAACCUUCCAAGGUGUCUGUGACCCUCUCAUUAUGGAACAUUGAGUAUGUUGGAGAGUAGUGGCUCCAUCAUUGGUGGCCAUGCCUUCAAAUACUGGUCCUAAGAAUCGAUUCAAUUCAUAAACCACUCCCUGUGGAGCUGUAGACUUGCUUGCCAAGCCAGUGUGUUCAGUUUCGUUUUGUCACCCUGCAAGGCAACAUCGUCAGUGUCUCUGGUGAAGUGUUGGUGUUCUGUUCCACUUGUUAUUUGCGUGUCUCAACUUGCAAGGGUGGUUGGCAUCACUUCCGCUUUUGUUUUAUGGUGGCUUGUAUAUCGGGUCCAGUUCAUUGUGUUGGUUGAUGGAGUUCCAGUUGGAUACAGAAAGGCCACACAUACGGACCAGAUACUUAAUUAUCCAGCAAUCACCCCAACACCCAUAAAUAAAAAAUCAUCAGAACAUUAUUCAAACAGGCCACAAUACACUGUAGCAAAGCAGAACAGCAGCACUUAUACAGGGUUUUGGAAAAGAAUAGAUACCCAAGAAGCACAAUCUGCCGUUACCUCCGUGACAGACAGCAAGAAAACACAACACAGCCAGACACACUAGACAUAUCAGAGAUCACCACAAAAUUAUUCAGACCCCCUAGGUAUCAGGAACAAAAACAGAAGUUGCUAGAGAUGCUCUGCAGGUCUGGCAGCAUCUGUGAAGAAAAAGAAAAGUUAACAUUUCAGGUCUGGUGACCCUUCCUCAGAACUGGUGAUAGCUGGGUAAAUGUCAGUUUAUAUGCAGAAAAUAGGGAGAAGGACGAGAUCGGGAGUAAGUGAUAGGAUAGAGCGAGAAGAGCAGUUGGACAGACAAAGGAGUUGAUAACAAUCUGGCUAGGAGGGUGAGUUGUUAAUGGGGACUGUUAGUGAUUGACAAUAAGUAGUAUGUAAUGGCAGGCUGUGUAAUAACAAGACUUGUGUGUGGGGUAGGGGGGCUAGGACAUGGGAGGCACUAAAAUUAUUGAACUUAAUACUGAGUCUGGAGGGCUGUAGGGUUCCCAAGCAGAAAAUGAGUGGUGUUCUUCCAGCUUGUGUUGAGCUUUGCUGGGACACUGCAACAAGCCAGAGACCUAGAUGUUGGCCAGGGAACAGGGUGGUGUGUUAAAGUUUUCCCUAGGUAUCAGGGUAUCCACAAACCAACAAACACCCUGCAACAGCUACUGAUAAACAUACAAGAUCCUAUACCCACAACCAAUAAAACUCAUGUAAUAUACAAAAUACCAUCAAAGGACUGGGAGAAACAUUACAUAGGUCAAACUAGAAGAAGACUUACAAUAAGGAUACACAAACACCAACUAGCCACCAAAGACAUGACCAAUCCUCACUGGUCUCAAUACACAUGGACAAAGGUCAUGAAUUUGACUGGGACAACACACCCAUAAUAGCACAAGCCAAACAGAGACAUAAGAGAAUUCCUGGAGGCCUGGCAUUCUAACUGGAACUCCAUCAACAAGCACACGGAACUGGACCCGAUAUACAAA